UUAAGACAGUCCACACCUUUUUACUUUUUUUAGUGAACACUAUUGCUCUAUUGGAUUUCGAAUUUUAGAAUUGUUAGAUGUGAUGUGAUGGACAUGUCUUGAACAAAUCAUGAAUCAAACCGUAAUGUUAUACAUAACAUAUUUUUCAACUAUUUUGGGAAGGCAUAAGUCAUUAAGCUACGCCGACUUGAGAGAGGCCUUUUAAACGGCUACGGAACGAAUAGCGAUGGGACCAUGCGUUUGAAUUAAAUCCUCAGAUUACGAUAUUGCACCACCACAAACA
rnacentral:lncRNA from 1 species